rnacentral:rRNA from 1 species
CGAAGGGGGCUAGCGUUGCUCGGAAUCACUGGGCGUAAAGGGUGCGUAGGCGGGUCUUUAAGUCAGGGGUGAAAUCCUGGAGCUCAACUCCAGAACUGCCUUUGAUACUGAGGAUCUUGAGUUCGGGAGAGGUGAGUGGAACUGCGAGUGUAGAGGUGAAAUUCGUAGAUAUUCGCAAGAACACCAGUGGCGAAGGCGGCUCACUGGCCCGAUACUGACGCUGAGGCACGAAAGCGUGGGAGCAAACAGGAUUAGAUACCCUGGUAGUCCACGCCGUAAACGAUGAAUGCCAGCCGUUAGUGGGUUUACUCACUAGUGGCGCAGCUAACGCUUUAAGCAUUCCGCCUGGGGAGUACGGUCGCAAGAUUA